UGAGUAAUAAUAAAUAAAUCUGUCAAACAUUGAUUGCAGGUUUUGCUGUGAGAUAUGAACAGACCAGGUGGCCAUUCCUACCAGGGAGAAGUGAGGCUAAGUGGCGUGGCUGUCCUGGGCAAGGAGGUAAGAAAUACCAGUCUCCAAACAUCCAUGUGUACAUGAAGUGGUGUGGAUUUUGCUUUCAGGGAGAAAAACUGUGGCUGACCUUACUUGUCAUGGGGAGAGUGUCAAAAGCAGACUCGGGACAAAUAACAUGGACUUGCCAGCUUCUCGAUCUAUUGAGGACUCCAGUGACAAGAUGCUGUUAUUUUAAGAUUGAAGGAGACCAGAGGGCUGUUGUGUUCGAAAAGGAAUUAAUGCAAAUCCAACUAGCUGAACCAGGCAGAUGAGAGAAAUGCAGCCGAUUUGAACGUUGAGGUUGUGAAAACUUCAGGAAGUUGCUAGAAGAUCUGGGAUAUCUACAGAAAGGAAACAAGCAAAAUUCAUCACUGCUACCAAGAGGAGGAGAGUUACAGGUGCUCAGGAUUUGAGUAGAAAGGAACAGGGACGGAGCUGAACAGAUCCAACACCUUAAAGGACAAUUGGAUCUCAAAAUAUGAAAGACCCCUCAUUCAAUAAAGCAACAGGAUUGGCUCUGAGGAGCGGUAAGCAACAAUUGAUGAAGGAAACAGGCAGCGUGGACAGUAUUCAAGACACAAUGUUUAAAAGUUGCUGCUGGGAUGGAAGCAAAGAAGAAAGCCCUGGAGACGGGUUAGUGCUGGGACACAGGCACUAUCCUGGAGGGGCCUGGGACAGGGUGUGUAACCAUAGCGACCAGAGGGUCCUUUCCCCUCUGUGGUCCUGGCUCGCAUGCACAGGGUGAAACCGAUCGCCAUGUUUGGGGUCAGGAAGGAAUUUUCCUCCAGGGCAGAUUGGCCAGAGACCCUGGAGGUUUUUCGCCUUCCUCUGGGGCAUCGAGCAGGGACCAGCCCUUAGGGCCAUUUAGGAACAGACAUAAUAAAAUCAAUCAGAGAGAA